AUUGAACGCUGGCGGCAGGCCUAACACAUGCAAGUCGAACGAGUGGCGGACGGGUGAGUAAUGUCUGGGAAACUGCCUGAUGGAGGGGGAUAACUACUGGAAACGGUAGCUAAUACCGCAUACCAUCGGAUGUGCCCAGGGGGGAUUAGCUAGUGGGUGGGGUAAAGGCGCAACUAGGCGACGAGCCCUAGCUGGUCUGCGAGGAUGACCAGGCACACUGGAACGGAGACACGGUCCAGACUCCUAUGGGAGGCAGAAGGGGGGAAUAUUGCACAAUGGGUGAAAGCCUGACGCAUCCAUGCAGCGGGGUGGAAGAAGGGCUGCGGGUUGUAAAGUACUUUCAGCGAGGAGGCGUUAAUCGCAGAAGAAGCACCGGCUAACUCCGUGCCAGCAGCCGCGGUAAUUC
rnacentral:rRNA from 1 species